rnacentral:lncRNA from 1 species
UGGGCAAAGCUCGCGGCUCGCCCAGAAACCAGCCCCUCGGCGCGUCCCCUCCGCGGUGACGGGUGCCGGGCGGAGAGCCGGAGCGCGCGCCCAGCCCCGGGAAAGCCCCGGCGACGCGGCCGCGAGCCGGGGUCCCUCCGAGCCGCCAGGGCGCGCCGGGCCGCCCGCCUGCCCGCCCCUCCCGGCAGGGAUCCCCCCCCCGCGCUGCCGGUGCCCGGGACUCCGGGCCUCCCCGGGCUCAGUCCCGAGCCCCCGCUCCGGCCCGGGCUCCUGCGGGGGUCCUCGGGGGGGGCUCUCCCCGGUCCUCCCCAGGCCCCCCCCGCUGAGGGCUGCGAGCCCGGGAGCCCCGCGGGCGGCGGCGGCUGCCGACUGACAUGCCCCGGACGCGGCUGCGGCCGGCGGGCAGCCCGCGGGGGCGAUGAGCCUCUGCGGCCGCUGAGCAGCCGGGCGGCGGGGCGUCGCGCACCUUCCCCCCCCCCCCCCCCCCGCUUGGCCACUCCGCUCGGGAGACCGGGAGGAAACGGUCUCUGGCCUGUCAGGAGGACCAUUGGUGCUGCAGUGGAAG